rfam:Ricinus communis cultivar Hale ctg_1100012282438, whole genome shotgun sequence.
GGGUGCGUUCAUACCAGCAUUAAUGCACCGGAUCCCAUCAGAACUUCGAAGUUAAACGUGCUUGGGCGAGAGUAGUACUAAGAUGGGUGACCUCUUGGGAUGUUCUCGUGUUGCACCGU